rnacentral:rRNA from 1 species
AUUGAACGCUGGCGGCAUGCUUUACACAUGCAAGUCGAACGGCAGCGGGGAGGAGCUUGCUUCUCUGCCGGCGAGUGGCGAACGGGUGAGUAAUACAUCGGAACGUGUCGAGAAGAGGGGGAUAACCACCCGAAAGGGUGGCUAAUACCGCAUAAAUUCUGAGGAAGAAAGCUGGGGACCUAGGAAUAGGCCUAGCGCUUUUUGAGCGGCCGAUGUCGGAUUAGCUAGUUGGUGAGGUAAAGGCUCACCAAGGCGAAGAUCUGUAGCGGGUCUGAGAGGAUGAUCCGCCACACUGGGACUGAGACACGGCCCAGACUCCUACGGGAGGCAGCAGUGGGGAAUUUUGGACAAUGGGGCAACCCUGAUCCAGCCAUGCCGCGUGUAUGAAGAAGGCCUUAGGGUUGUAAAGUACUUUUGUUAGGGAAGAAAAGUCAGCUGUGAAUAAUGGCUGAUACUGACGGUACCUAAAGAAUAAGCACCGGCUAACUACGUG